GAUGAAGAACGCAGUGAAAUGCGAUAAGUAGUGUGAAUUGCAGACUUUAGUGAAUCAUCGAAUCUUUGAACGCACAUUGCGCCCGCCAGUAUUCUGGCGGGCAUGCCUGUUCGAGCGUCAUUACAACCCUCAGGCCCCCGGGCCUGGCGUUGGGGAUCGGCGGAGCCCCCCGUGGGCACACGCCGUCCCCCAAAUACAGUGGCGGUCCCGCCGCAGCUUCCAUCGCGUAGUAGCUAACACCUCGCGACUGGAGAGCGGCGCGGCCACGCCGUAAAACACCCAACUCUUCUGAAGUUGACCUCGAAUCAGGUAGGAAUACCCGCUGAACUUAAGCAUAUCAAUAAGCGGAGGA
rnacentral:misc_RNA from 1 species